UACGUAGGGGGCUAGCGUUGUCCGGAAUCAUUGGGCGUAAAGCGCGUGUAGGCGGUCCGGUAAGUCCGCUGUGAAAGUCGGGGGCUCAACCCUCGGAUGCCGGUGGAUACUGUCGGGCUUGAGUACGGAAGAGGCGAGUGGAAUUCCUGGUGUAGCGGUGAAAUGCGCAGAGUAUCAAGGAGGAACGACCGGUGGCGAAGGCGG
rnacentral:rRNA from 1 species